UCACAGCACGGUCGAAGUAAACAAACAACGUCGCGAAGGCCAAUUUUGUGGUGGUGGUGCGUGUGGCGAUCCCCUAAUUUGGUUAAAAUGAACGCUAAUCGGCCGGCUUCCGUUCGGUCAUCGCUAUUGUGCGCGUAGUGCGACCGCUUAACUGUGCAUUGUGAAUGGAGAAAUGAUUAGUUCCUAUUAAAACCCCGUGGGCAGCUACUUGCAUGGAGUAUCGCUCAUCUCACCCCCCCACUCCACGCCAUCAUCCGUCCUGGAACGUGUAACGCAUCGUAGAAGUGUGCAUUGGGUAGCGUCAUCACACCGGCAACGUACAACCGUAUUACACCAGCAUCAUGAAUCAAGAAGUUCGCUUUCGUCGUAAGCACGUGAUAAUAUUCCUGUCCAUCAUCGGAAUCCUGUUCAUCUACUCGCUAAGCUCCAGCCGGGACUGUGCGGGAAGUGAGCAGUUCUCAAGGUCAAAGGUGGAUGGAGCUGAAUCUUGGGAAGCUGGUCAAGGACGCGACGCCUAUCUGCCCAAUCGAAAGGGUCCAACGAUCUACGCGGUAACGCCGACCUAUGCGAGGCCCGUGCAGAAGGCCGAACUAACACGCCUUUCGCAGGUCAUCCGUUUGGUGCCAAACGUGUUCUGGGUGAUAGUGGAAGACGCAUCGCAAACGUCCACCCUGGUCACCAAUCUGCUCCGGCGAAGCGGUUUGCAGGAGCGUAGCGUACAACUGUUUGCCAAAACACCGACCAAUUUUAAGCUGCAAGGCAAAGAUCCCAACUGGCUCAAGCCACGUGGCGUGGAGCAGCGCAAUGAAGCGCUCAAGUGGAUACGGAACCGGUUGAAGCAUAAUGCCCUUGGUGAGCCGGAGUCCCCCGGUCACUCGAUCGUUUACUUCAUGGACGACGAUAAUACGUACAGCACGGAGCUGUUUGAAGAAAUGUCAACAAUAGAACGGGGCAAGGUUGGCGUUUGGCCCGUCGGUCUGGUUGGCGGGCUGAUGGUAGAGAAACCCGUGCUGAAUCGGGACGGUUUGGUGCUUGGGUUUAACAGUGCCUGGAAACCGGAACGUCCGUUCCCGCUCGAUAUGGCCGGGUUUGCAAUCAGCUCCGAUCUGCUGUUGGAAAACCCGCAGGCCCAGUUCAGCUACGAAGUCGAACGAGGCUACCAGGAGAGUGAAAUCCUGCGCCAUCUCACGAUCGUACACGACAUGCAGCCGCUCGCGAACCGGUGCAAGGAUGUGCUGGUCUGGCACACCCGAACCGAAACGCCGAAGCUCGACGCGGAGAAGGCACUGCAAAAGAGUGGCAAAAAAUCGAACGAUGGCAUGGAGGUGUAAGACAGACCGACGGGAGAAGGCGCAUGCAUCGUACGUUCAUCUUUCUCUUUGCUCGAAAUGCAUAAUAAGUGAUUAUUGACUCGAAUAAUUAUGACCAAUAUGCAUUAAUUUCGAUCGAUCCGAUGUGCCGAAAAGAGUUGGCUCGGAUGUUGGAUAACACUGAAAAGUUCGUUGUCAUAAAAGAAUGUCGUUUUCCUUCUUGCCUAUCUAUCCUAGCUGUAUACGCGCACAACACAUGCGACUCCUUGCACCGAAACGCACCGCUCUCACAUGCCGUCAGCCCUUUUCUGUAUCGCUUUUCUUCUUAACGCCACAGUCACGCCUUGGGACACAUCUGGCAGCGCACAUGAACAUGCAAUAUUGCCGAAAGUGUUGGUCACAUCCCAGCUGACCAAUAAAUGGGCCAAUAAUGGCAGUAGUCACGCACACGCCACACAGUAAGCGCCCCCCUAGGAAGCCUGUCAUGCUUUGCUGGCCAUCGCUUUGACCGGGUGGUGUGUCAAUUCUCCACUUCUAUCCACUCUGGCCGAAAACGAUUUUAAUGGUGGCCCAGCGCUCGAAGCUGUAUCGACGAAAAGUUUCGAUGUUGGAAAAAUUAUUUCAUUACUACACUCCCCCCCCCCCCACAUCGCCGUUGGUUUGGGGCCCAACUUUACGCCAUGCCGUUGGUGUUGAAGCUUGACGCACAUCGAUGCUGGACGUGGACGUGACGAACCGCAACCAUAUCAACUGCGCCACCACCGCCGGCCGUGGUGUGUGUGUGUGUGUGUGUGUGUGUGCUGGCGGGGUGAAAAAGUCAUUGUCUUAAUUACAUUUCUUCCGGAUUGGUUUUGGCGAAAGUUUGGCGGAAGUUUUGCUCCCUGCCCGGCGCAUGGGAAAUAACAAUUCAGCAGCGAGGGAGCGAAAGAACGUCUGCUUUCUGCGAUUAGGGUGCGUAUAAUCUAUCGGAAGCUGUGGAAGUAUUUCAAGAAUGUCGUUGCGUGCGAUCGGGUAGGAAAAUUUCUAAUCACUGGCCUUUAUCCACGCUUGAUGGUGCGUGUAAAAUCACGUUUUUAAAAUCAAAAUUCAUGCGAUGGUUUGCGA